UUGGUGAAUGUAAUAGGGAGAAUGCCCAUGAAAUAAUGAAAGGAUUGAAUAAUAGUGGUCUCAUCCAUGGAAUGAGAGAAGUUAGAAGUGGGAGAUGAGAGGAAUGAGAAGAGCUUCAAAACCUUGAAGCACUUCUUAUAUCCCAAAGCCAAUCUUAGCAAGUGUACUCUCAACUCCUCAAACACGUGCCUUGCAACAUAGAACAAGGAUAUGCUGUCCCAAAG
rnacentral:lncRNA from 1 species